GUGAGCGUAGCUCAACGGCAGAGCACCAGGCUGUGGCCCUGGGGGUUGUGGGUUCGAAUCCCAUCGCUCACC
rnacentral:tRNA from 1 species